CCUACGGGAGGCAGCAGUCGAGAAUCAUUCACAAUGGGGGAAACCCUGAUGGUGCGACGCCGCGUGGGGGAAUGAACGCCUUCGGAUUGUAAACCCCUGCCAUGUGGGAGCAAAUGAAAAAGAUAGUACCACAAGAGGAAGAGACGGCUAACUCUGUGCCAGCAGCCGUGGUAAUACAGAGGGCUCAAGCGUUGUUCGGAAUCACUGGGCGGAAAGCGUGCGGAGGCGGUUUCGUAAGUCGUGUGUGAAAGGCGCGGGCUCAACCCGCGGACGGCGCAUGAUACUGCGUGACUAGAGUGAAGGAGGGGGAAGCGGAAUUCUCGGUGUAGCAGUGAAAUGCGUAGAUAUCGAGAGGAACACUCGUGGCGAAGGCGGGUUCCUGGACAUUAACUGACGCUGAGGCACGAAGGCCAGGGGAGCGAAAGGGAUUAGAUACCCCGGUAGUC
rnacentral:rRNA from 1 species